ensembl:snRNA U6 U6 spliceosomal RNA
GUGCUCACUUUGGCAGCACAUAUACUAAAAUUGGAAUGAUACAGAGUAGAUUAGCAUGGUCCCUGUGCAAGGAUGACAUGUAAGUUUGUGAAGUGUUCCACAUUUUU